UACGUAGGUGGCAAGCGUUGUCCGGAAUUACUGGGCGUAAAGGGCUCGUAGGUGGCCAACUAAGUCAGACGUGAAAUCCCCCGGCUUAACCUGGGAACUGCGUCUGAUACUGGAAGGCUUGAGUUCGGGAGAGGGAUGUGGAAUUCCAGGUGUAGCGGUGAAAUGCGUAGAUAUCUGGAGGAACACCGGUGGCGAAGGCGGCAUCCUGGACCGAAACUGACACUGAGGCGCGAAAGCCAGGGGAGCAAACGGG
rnacentral:rRNA from 1 species